GCGCACCAGGCGCGAAAACUUCACACUGUGCGAAAGCACGAUGAGGGAAUCCCAAGUGCUUGCACGUAUGUGUAAGCUGUUUCUCUGUCUAAAACGCAGAGAGAGUAAGGGCUGGGUAAGACGGGUGCCAGCCGCCGCGGUAAUACCUGCAGCUCAAGUGGUGACCGUUAUUAUUGGGCCUAAAACGUCCGUAGCCGGUUUAAUAAAUGCCUGGGUAAAUUGUGUAGCUUAACUAUACGAAUUCCGGGUAGACUGUUAAACUUGAGACCGGGAGAAGUUAGAGGUACUCCUGGGGUAGAGGUGAAAUUCUGUAAUCCUAGGGGGACCACCAGUGGCGAAGGCGUCUAACUAGAACGGGUCUGACGGUGAGGGACGAAGCCCUGGGGCGCAAACGGGGAUUAGAUACCCCUGUAG
rnacentral:rRNA from 1 species